GAGACACCCUUAUGGGGCCGGGCUUGCUUCAGUGGGGCUUUGGUGCUCACUGAGUCUGCCCCUUGAGUGUGUCGCU
rnacentral:pre_miRNA from 1 species